AGAGCCUAAUAUACAUUCAGUAAAGAGAAUAUUUGACUGAGGGGCCUACCUCUAGUUCAAUCCUCAGAGUUGAGUACUCUGAGAUCCAGAAAGGAAGAAACAUGGAGAAACUCCUGGGAGGGACUUUAGUGAUUUUCUGUCUUCAGCUGACCAGGGUGAGCAGCCAACAAGAAGAAGAGAAGCUUCAGGCUCUGAUCAUCCAGGAAGGUGAAAAUGCCACCAUGAACUGCAGCUACAAAACAACUAUAACCAAUUUACAAUGGUAUAGACAAGCUUCGGGCACAGGCCCCAUCCUGCUGAUUCUAAUCCGUUCAAAUGAGAGAGAGAAACCCAGCAGAAGAUUCAGAGCCACACUCGACACUUCCAACAAAAGAAGCACCCUGUCCAUCACAGAUGCCCAACCUGCAGACACUGCUACUUACUUCUGUGCCACUGACGCACAGCACUCAAAAGGCACCUGCCACCCCUGCACAAACCUUUCUGAAGCAGCUUUUUGGAGACUCUGACAGUGCUGGAGUCUCUAUCUUUCAGGGAGGAGAGUCUACAAAAAGCUGGAGACAUGAAAUGACAACUUUCCCAGCUUGUGACUUGUGUUUUGAGCAUCUUGGACUAGGGAAAAGAGCACGGAAUUUGGAGUGGGAAACUGCAAUGUCAGGCUCAAUCCUGUCUAACAAUGCAACAGCCUCCAAUCUUCUCACUGGAAAUGAAGAAUUCAGAUAGAUAAGCCCAAAAGAUUCCUCUACUGUAAAUGUGUUAAAACAAAAAAGUAAGCCCUGGACACUUGUGGAGGAUGACAAGGGAUUUCUCAGUGUUAGAGGGUCUUAUCUUUCCUUUGUAUGCUUCCCUGGGGCCCAGGUGGGUCUUUGAAAUGCAUGGAAUAAUUCUUUACAAGCUUCUAAAUCCUAUGUGGGAAACAGUGGACUCAUCAAGAUUUAGGUUAGAAGGGGCCUUAACCAAAUGUGUCACUGUGUCACUGUGAAAUCGUUGUGUAGCCAGACUCAGAUGUGAAUCUUUAGGAAAACAAAGAUCAAAAUGUGAUACUGCUGUGUUCUACUUAUGUGAUUUUUUUUUAGUUUUCCUACUAGUAAAAUGAAACCUUACAAGAAAGUAAUAAUUUUCCCCAUCCAAAUGAGAAAUAUAUGUUCUCAACUACAUCGUGCAUUUCUGUGUUUUGAAAGCAGAUACUUCUAUAAUCAAACACAUAACACCUUUCCAUCUGUUUAUUCAUGUUCCUACUAAGAUAAACAAAUGCUGGCUAUGGUUUUCUUGACAGAUUUUUGACUUGUUGAAAAUGUGUUUGUGGAUAAAAUUAGAGUGUUUCUAUCUGUGUGUGUGCUCAGUGAAGAAGGUGGGGGAGGGCAGAAACUGGCUGUGGGGGACAAUGUUUCAUGAGAGCCACACAUUGAUCUGACAUUAUCACUCAUGUCAGAAUCAUCUAGACAAUUAUGUUCAGUUGUGGCUGAUUUAGUGAUUAAUGAAGGGAUGGGUUUAUAUUUAAAUGAACACCACGUGCAUUAGUCAG